UACAGAGGGGGCGAGCGUUGUUCGGAAUUACUGGGCGUAAAGGGCGCGUAGGCGGCCUUCUAAGUCGAACGUGAAAUCCCCGGGCUCAACCCGGGAACUGCAUCCGAUACUGGGAGGCUUGAAUCCGGGAGAGGGAUGUGGAAUUCCAGGUGUAGCGGUGAAAUGCGUAGAUAUCUGGAGGAACACCGGUGGCGAAGGCGGCAUCCUGGACCGGUAUUGACGCUGAGGCGCGAAAGCGUGGGGAGCAAACGGG
rnacentral:rRNA from 1 species